GGCCGGGAUAAGAAAGGCAUAGUUGUCAGCUUCUAAUCGCCCUUGGGCAAUUUUUUAUGAUCUGGCCUCAAAUCAGGUAGGACUACCCGCUGAACUUAAGCAUAUCAAUAAGCGGAGGAAAAGAAACUAACAAGGAUUCCCCUAGUAACGGCGAGUGAAGCGGGAUGAGCUCAAAUUUAAAAUCUGGCGGUCUCAGAUCGUCCGAGUUGUAGUCUAGAGAAGCGUUUUCCGUGCUGGCCUGUGUACAAGUCCGUUGGAACACGGCGUCAUAGAGGGUGAGAAUCCCGUCCUUGACACAGAUCUCCAGUGCUUUGUGAUGCGCUCUCAAAGAGUCGAGUUGUUUGGGAAUGCAGCUCAAAAUGGGUGGUAAAUUCCAUCUAAAGCUAAAUAUUGGCGAGAAACCGAUAGCGAACAAGUACCGUGAGGGAAAGAUGAAAAGCACUUUGGAAAGAGAGUUAAACAGUACGUGAAAUUGUUGAAAGGGAAACGAUUGAAGUCAGUCAUGCUUUCCGAGACUCAGCCGGUUCUGCCGGUGUACUUCUCGGUUUGCAGGCCAGCAUCAGUUUUGGGCGGUGGAAAAGGUUGGCGGGAAUGUGGCAUCCUCGGAUGUGUUAUAGCCCGCUUUCGAAUACAUCGCCCGGGACUGAGGAACGCAGCACGCCUCUUGUAGGUCGGUCUUCGGACACGUC
rnacentral:rRNA from 1 species